rnacentral:rRNA from 1 species
GGGUCAGUAGGUUGGUCGUGCCACCGGUACGUACUGGUCUCACUGAUUCCUCCUUCCUGAAGAACCGUAAUGCCAUUAAUUUGGUGUUGCGGGGAAACAGGACUGUUACUUUGAAAAAAUUAGAGUGUUUAAAGCAAGCUAACACUUGAGUACAUUAGCAUGGAAUAAUGAAAUAGGACGAUCGAUCCUAUUUUGUUGGUUUCUAGGAUUGACGUA